CCCGCACAAGCGGUGGAGCAUGUGGUUUAAUUCGAAGCAACGCGAAGAACCUUACCAGGUCUUGACAUCCCUGACAACCGAGAGAUCGGGCGUUCCCCUUCGGGGGGACAGGGUGACAGGUGGUGCAUGGUUGUCGUCAGCUCGUGUCGUGAGAUGUUGGGUUAAGCCCCGCAACGAGCGCAACCCUCGACCUUAGUUGCCAGCAUUCAGUUGGGCACUCUAAGGUGACUGCCGGCUAAAAGUCGGAGGAAGGUGGGGAUGACGUCAAAUCAUCAUGCCCCUUAUGACCUGGGCUACACACGUGCUACAAUGGGCGGUACAAAGGGUCGCGAACCCGCGAGGGGGAGCCAAUCCCAAAAAGCCGCUCUCAGUUCGGAUUGCAGGCUGAAACCCGCCUGCAUGAAGUUGGAGUUGCUAGUAAUCGCAGGUCAGCAUACUGCGGUGAAUACGUUCUCGGGCCUU
rnacentral:rRNA from 1 species